rnacentral:rRNA from 1 species
GACGAAGGGGGCUAGCGUUGUUCGGAAUUACUGGGCGUAAAGCGCGUGUAGGCGGUUGUUCAAGUCAGGUGUGAAAGCCUUGAGCUCAACUCAAGAAAUGCACUUGAUACUGGAUGACUAGAGGACCGGAGAGGAUAGUGGAAUUCCCAGUGUAGUGGUGAAAUACGUAGAGAUUGGGAAGAACACCAGUGGCGAAGGCGGCUAUCUGGACGGUUUCUGACGCUAAGACGC